ACACAGCCCCUAUCGCAGAAGCAGGCCCCCUCUGGACUGUAAGGGUAGGGGUGCGAAGCACCAGGGCCUUCCUGCCAGAAUGGGCAGGAGGGAGCGAAAGCUCCCCCGAGAACCUUCUUCAGAUCUGCACACGAGGCAGGCAGCAGCCUGGACACAGCCCCAGGCCCCUUCCCCUACCAUUCAUCCCUGCUGGCUCUGGGCCCAAAGUUUAGGUAAAAUUGUUUUUAUGGUUCCCUUAAGAUGCAUUUGCCUUCUUACAAAUCUACCUGUGUACGUUUUCCAUCGCCUUCUCUCUCUCUAGACUGACUGAUUCUUACGUGCGGCUGUAGAACCCAACACAGUGCCUGGUCCGGAAUGAAGGUUAAGCAUUGUCCGUGAUGAUUUUGCAGAGGGAUAUUUAGUUUUAUAGAAACAGCGCCGAGGCUCACAGACUAGAUCCUCUUCCUGUGUUUUGGCAAAGUGCUCUGUUUUAGCUGAAGUCUGAAGAGUGAUUUUGAGUUGUUCUACUUUCCCACAUCUACUGGCCCCAAAUCUGCUUCCAUCGCAUUCUUUCCCACAGCUUCCUUCAUUGAGAGCUCAUUUCAUAAACCCACUUUGCACUUGGCUCCCCGCCAUUCUCCUCUGUCGUACUCGGUCCCCACCAAUGUGGUCACGGGCUAGAAAAUCAAUAAAGCCCUUAAUCACCAUGUGCAGCAGCAACAGCAGCACUGCCCAGCUCCUAACUCAGCAGAUCCAGGAGCACCGCAGCGAGCUCUGGCAGGCGGAGGGGGCUGCACAGGACCUCUGACAGCCCGGGCUGGGGGUGGGAUUGCUUCCGUGCUCACACCGAGGCGUGACUUUUCUAAGCUGCUCGGUCUUGCUUCCUUUGCAUCCAAGGAGAUACCCUUCUCUUCACACUCAGCUUGGGAAACCUCUGGAUUCCUGCAAAGCUGGAAAUGAAGACCUGCAAAGGGUCUGAGAUUUUAUUCUGUUUGCAAGCUAACUGGUUAGUCUGCUGGCAGAACACGCAAGCCUUCCGGGCCUGGGAGAGCCAACAUGUGGGCAUUUGCCACAGGUCGACGCCGUGAACUCCCCGCGCUGCCUGCUCACGUAGCGCCUUGUGUUCCAGGAGGAGGAAUCCGAAUCCCAUGCUGAGGGAACUUGAAUCUUUUACAACGGAUGGAAAGAAUGCUGCCCUUGGUUCUGGGCAGAGGCACUCUUAUUUUUCAAAGCUGUUGGCUACACAAACCUCCUUGAAAAGAUGGUCCGCAACAAAGUAGCUGGUGCGUCUGCUCCCGAGCUGUGCCAAGAGGCCGCAAGAGCCACGUGCAGCAUUUUCUCCUGGCGGUCAGUUCCACUGAUUUUGUUUUCAACUUCAUGACAUUCUGCUUUUACUUUUAAUUUCUUCCUUCUACUUUCCUUAGAUGUUUGACAUUGUGCUUUGUCUUCAGUUUAUCUUCCCGAAUAAUCGCUUCUUUAGCAUGCAUUCUUCUUAAACUAAAAAGGUUUUAAGAUUAUAAUUUUUCCUCUGAACAAACCUUUGACGACCUGUCCUAGAUCCGAACAAGUGGUGCCCUCCUGAUCAUUAUUUGCUAAAUUAUAUAGCUUUUCUUGUUUACAGAAGUCAAAGGCUUUGAACAAAAUUCGUCAUCCCUGCAUCUCUUCGCUCUCUGGGUUCACUCUGGAAGCUACUGUCUUUUCUUCAGUCCCUUGUAUUUAAUAGGAUGUCUGUGACUGAUGUGCUAAACAAGGUUAAAUUGCACUUCAUUGCAAUUUAAGAGGAAAUGGAAUUUGGAAGAUGAGGACUCGAGUCCUGACAGCCACUUUUUACUGAUAACCAAAUAAACCAUGCGCUUUGAGUCUCCUUUUUAUCCACAAAUGUAGGAUUGAAUUACAUGAUCCCUCAUGUGUCCUUUUCAAUGUAGGGCUCUAAGACAUUUGGACUUAGUUUCAAUUACAGUGGCUUGAUGAUUUCUAGGCUGACUUGUUAGUUGAGGCAGAAACCGGAAAAGCUGAGUUCAACCCUUGCCAUGUUUUCUUGUGUGACACAUUCAGAGAGAAAGUCACGUGGCCCUGGAGGCUCAUUUCCUUCUCUUUUGUAGUAAGAAAUCUACAAAAGAUUUGUAGAUUUGGUCGGAGUCAGAUAAGAGAGGACGAGGCCGAUGCCAAAGGCGGAGACUCUUUCUAACAAGGCUGGUUCAAGGCUCAGGAAGCUCCAUCACCACAGAGUUAUCCAGAUGUUCCUGUUCUUUCUCCAAAUGUGUGUGGAGCACUGAAGGCACGGAUCCCUUUCCUGGGAUCUUCCCAAGUAUAGCUGUCCUCCCGAGCCAAGUCCGACAUACCACCCUGGGGAAUCGUGCGACCUCAGAGCCUCAUCAACGCUUAUGACUUCUGUGCCUUUAAGUGUUUCCCCAAUAAAUCUGGUUUUUACUUUA